GAUGAACGCUAGCGGCAGGCUUAACACAUGCAAGUCGAGGGGUAUAGUUCUUCGGAACUAGAGACCGGCGCACGGGUGCGUAACGCGUAUGCAAUCUACCUUUUGCAGAGGGAUAGCCCAGAGAAAUUUGGAUUAAUACCUCAUAGUAUGUGAGAAUGGCAUCAUUUUCACAUUAAAGUCACAACGGCAAAAGAUGAGCAUGCGUCCCAUUAGCUUGUUGGUAAGGUAACGGCUUACCAAGGCAACGAUGGGUAGGGGUCCUGAGAGGGAGAUACCCCAGACGAGUACUGAGAGACGAGCCAGACUCAUACUGGAGGCAGCAGUGAGGAAUAUUGGACAAUGGACGCAAGCUUGAUCCAGCCAUGCCGCGUGCAAGAUGACGUUCCUAUGGAUUGUAAACUGCUUUUGUACAGGAAGAAACACUGGUUCGUGAACCAGCUUGACGGUACUGUAAGAAUAAGGAUCGGCUAACUCCGUGCCAGCCGCCGCCGUAAAAC
rnacentral:rRNA from 1 species